rnacentral:rRNA from 1 species
UACGUAGGGUGCGAGCGUUGUCCGGAAUUACUGGGCGUAAAGAGCUCGUAGGCGGUUUGUCGCGUCGGCCGUGAAAUCUCCACGCUUAACGUGGAGCGUGCGGUCGAUACGGGCAGACUUGAGUUCGGUAGGGGAGACUGGAAUUCCUGGUGUAGCGGUGAAAUGCGCAGAUAUCAGGAGGAACACCGGUGGCGAAGGCGGCAUCCUGGACCGGCAUUGACGCUGGGGCGCGAAAGCCAGGGGAGCAAACGGG